AUUUCGGGGUGGCGGAGGAAACAAGGCGAUUUGGUUGGGAGCGCGGAGUGCUACACUAAAUAUUAUUAAACACCACUUUAUUAUUAUUUUGACGUACAACUUAUACAAAAUUGAAUGACUUUUACGUCAAAAUAGAAAUAAACUGCUGUUAAAUAAUAUUUUAUUAUUGUAGCCCUGCGCGGCGCGAUCGGCAAAUCACGCCUCUUCUCCGCCAGCCCGAAAUCUAGUUCCACCGAAAUCCCUUAUUUUCUGCAUUAUUUGUGGUGAUUGAGUUUAAAAAAAUUGACACACAUACAUAUAUAUGGUACACCUUUCAAUUCCCAGCGUAAUAAACCCGGUCCCUCAUUAAAUCGUUAUCAACUUACCAUGCACAUAAGCAAACAAACGUAUUCAAAUUAAUGAGUUUUACCCCUUAACAACAGGUCACAGAGGUGAAAUAUCGAAAAAUUUUAUAGGAAAAAUGAUUUUCUAUUAUUUUUUUUCUAAAUACUGGCAAAGUUUGAAAGUUUUUUUGUUAUAUGGUAUGUGGGUGACCUUUUCAUGGAUCGCCCAUCUCCUUUUUGCCACCGCACAGAGUUUAUUAUUAACAGUAACAAUAAUGAAAACCAGAAUCACUUCACAAAAACAAAAUUUGAUUUUGAUAAGAUUCUCAGCAUUUGUAGAGCUGAUUUUUAUGAGUUAAGCGGCGCCAAUAAUUUGGAAAUACUCCGCCCCCUCGCUGAGUGGGAGGAGCCCAAAGUUGGAAAAAUUCGCUCGGUCUGCGAUUUUUAGCGCAAUGGCGGGUCACUAUUUUUGAAAUCGGUUUUCACCAAAAGUUUUCUCAUUUUGUUCCAUACAACCGUUUUAGACCGUUUUUGGAAAUUUGUAAAACGAAUAUCACGAUUUCAUCCAUCCAGAACUGUGUUAAAGAAUAGUGUUAAAUAGUGUUAGUGUUAACUAGUGUUAAAGAAUUUCAAAGCUAUUAAUUUUUUGUAUGGUUUUUCAAAUUAAAUAUGACGCAUUUCCUGCCAUUAUCUCCCCCUUUCAGUUCGGGAGGAAUUAAUGAUCGAUAAACAAUUUAUGUACAAAGCAACAGUUCUCCAUGCGUGUCACAUCUGCUAAGCUUAAACAGCCGAACGAAGAAUUCCAGUUAAUUGACGCCUAUUAAAAUUUCGAAUUUACAAAACGAAUCUGUGGAUGAAUAAAAUGACACGUGGCACCAUCCUGAUCAUACUCACAGUAGUAUUUUUCACUACCGAAACGAGCAAUUACAAGUUACCUUCAAGAUGCUACAACGGUCUCCCUGAGGCUAAUAGAUACUGUAGGGAGAAACCAGUAUAACCAGAUGGGAGUUCGACGUCCACUUUGAAAAGAUAUGCAUUCCAACAACAUACCCAAUUUGCAUUAAUAAUAAGAUUGGCCGAGGUUACAAUCGGUAUUUUGAUCGCCUUGAAGAUUGCAAGAGAAUUUGUGAAGUUGCAUGAAACAAAAAUUUUAUAUCUCUUCCGCUCAUGGAAAAAAAUAAAUAAAUUUUUAAGCUGCUACCGUUUUAUA